GACGAACGCUGGCGGCGUGCUUAACACAUGCAAGUCGAACGGAAAGGCCCUGCUUGCAGGGUACUCGAGUGGCGAACGGGUGAGUAACACGUGGGUGAUCUGCCCUGCACUUCGGGAUAAGCCUGGGCAACUGGGACUAAUACCGGAUAGGAGCCAUUUUUGGUGUGUUGGUUGGAAAGUUUUUUCGGGGUAGGUUGAGUUCGCGGGCUAGCGGCUCGUUGGUGGGGCAGUGGCCUAUCACGGCGGCGACCGGUAGCCGGCCUGCGAGGGUGGGCGGCCACCUUGGGACUGGGAUACGGCCCAGCCUCCUGCGGGUGGCAGCCGUGGGGAGUAUUGCUGAUUGGGCGCAGGCCUGAUGCAGCGACGCCGCGUGGGGGAUGGCGGCCUUCGGGUUGUAGACGCCUUUCGCUAUCGACGAUGCUUUUUGUGACGGUACCUAGAUAAGAAGCACCGGCUAACUACGUG
rnacentral:rRNA from 1 species